UACCUUUUGCCAUUCAGCACUAAGUUGGG
rnacentral:sRNA from 1 species